CCUGCCAGUAGUCAUAUGCUUGUUUCAAGGAUUAAGCCAUGCAAGUGCCAGAGUAACUGUUUGUAUCAGAGGUCUGCGUACGGCUCAUUAAACGGUUUAUUAUCUACCCAGCGAAGGUGGUUUCAAAACCGCCCGAUGGAUAACUCCGCUAACUGUGGAGCUAAUACACGUAUGAAGAAGCUUGCCCUAUCAACCUCCCGCGGGGUUCUCUCCAAAGGAGGUGGGGUGGGCUGCUAUUGGCCGGUACAAAAACUAACGCCCGAUUAGGGCAGCAAUAACAGUUGAGGCAGGCCAAUCUUGCAAAAGCGCUCUUUUGGGCGCGUUGCUGGACGAAUUUACCACCUCAGGUAGAUGGUAGUGUAGUGGACUACCAUGCCAAUGACGGGUAACGGGGGAUUGGGGUUCGAUUCCGGAGAGGGUGCCUGAGAAAUGGCAACCAUCGCUAUGGCGAGCAGCAGGCGCGCAAAUUGCCCAAUGCCGACUCGGUGAGGCAGCGACGAAAAAUAACAACUUCACCGCCUUAUGGCAUGAAGAUUGUAAUGAUUUGUAAACACACGUACUAAGAGUAUCCAUUGGAGGACAAGUCUGGUGCCAGCACCCGCGGUAAUACCAGCUCCAAGAGCGUAUAUUAAUGUUGCUGCGGUUAAAAAGCUCGUAGUUGGACGUAAGAGCCAAGGCUGUGGUUGGGUCCGUCGGAUAAGGCACGCCCACAGAUGUUACUGUGAGUAAAACAGAAUGUUCAAAGUAAUCGGCUUGCCGAUUGAAUGUCAAAGCAUGGAAUAACAAGGGAUCGACCACUGUGGCCUCUUUUUGUUGGUUUUCAAGCCUCAGUGUGGUAACUCCGCGCAGGACUUCUCUUGGGCGUUCCUGGGUUCCUACUCAGGUCGUCCUUGUAGAGUCCUGUUGCAUUCGGGAUCAAUAGGAGCGCGGGGAGCAAUCAGUACUUCGGGGUGAGAGGUGAAAUUCAUAGACCCCCGAAAGACUAACAUCAGCGAAAGCCGUUUGCUAUCGCGCUUUCAUUAAUCAAGAACGAGA
rnacentral:rRNA from 1 species